rnacentral:rRNA from 1 species
UACAGAGGGGGCAAGCGUUAUUCGGAAUUAUUGGGCGUAAAGGGCGCGUAGGCGGCCUGGCAAGUGGAAGGUGAAAUCCCUCGGCUUAACCGAGGAACUGCCCUCCAAACUGCUUGGCUUGAGUCCGGGAGAGGUGAGUGGAAUUCCCAGUGUAGCGGUGAAAUGCGCAGAUAUCGGGAGGAACACCGGUGGCGAAGGCGGUUCUCUGGGCCUUACCUGACGCUGAGGAGCGAAAGCGUGGGGAGCGAACAGG